UGGGGAAUAUUGCACAAUGGGCGAAAGCCUGAUGCAGCGACGCCGCGUGAGGGAUGGAGGCCUUCGGGUUGUAAACCUCUUUCGCUCAUGGUCAAGCCGCAACAUUGGUUGUGGUGAGGGUAGUGGGUAAAGAAGCGCCGGCUAACUACGUGCCAGCAGCCGCGGUAAUACGUAGGGCGCGAGCGUUGUCCGGAAUUAUUGGGCGUAAAGGGCUUGUAGGCGGUUGGUCGCGUCUGCCGUGGAAUCCUCUGGCUUAACUGGGGGCGUGCGGUGGGUACGGGCUGACUUGAGUGCGGUAGGGGAGACUGGAACUCCUGGUGUAGCGGUGGAAUGCGCAGAUAUCAGGAAGAACACCGGUGGCGAAGGCGGGUCUCUGGGCCGUUACUGACGCUGAGGAGCGAAAGCGUGGGGAGCAAACAGG
rnacentral:rRNA from 1 species